CCUACGGGUGGCAGCAGUGAGGAAUAUUGGUCAAUGGCCGGAAGGCUGAACCAGCCAUGCCGCGUGAAGGUCAGUGCCCUAUGGGCGUUAAACUUCUUUUGUGCGGGAGCAAUAAUGGUCACGUGUGGCCAGACGAGAGUACCGUACGAAUAAGCAUCGGCUAACUCCGUGCCAUCAGCCGCGGUAAUACGGGGGAUGCAAGCGUUAUCCGGAUUUAUUGGGUUUAAAGGGGGCGUAGGCUGUGAGGUAAGUCAGCGGUGAAAUGCCCCCGCUCAACGGGGUGAAGUGCCAUUGAUACUGCCUGGCUGGAAUGCGGAUGCCGUGGGAGGAAUGUGGGGUGUAGCGGUGAAAUGCAUAGAUAUCACACAGAACACCGAUUGCGAAGGCAUCUCACGAAUCCGCGAUUGACGCUGAUGCACGAAAGCGUGGGUAUCAAACAGGAUUAGAUACCCGAGUAGUC
rnacentral:rRNA from 1 species